rnacentral:rRNA from 1 species
UACGUAGGGUGCGAGCGUUAAUUGGAAUUACUGGGCGUAAAGUGUGCGCAGGCGGCAAAGCAAGUCGAGUGUGAAAGCCCCGGGCUUAACUUGGGAAUUGCGCUCGAAACUACUUUGCUGGAGUGUGGCAGAGGAAGGUGGAAUUCCACGUGUAGCGGUGAAAUGCGUAGAGAUGUGGAGGAACACCAAUGGCGAAGGCAGCCUUCUGGGCCAACACUGACGCUGAGGCGCGAAAGCUAGGGGAGCAAACAGG